AGGGAAGUCAGGCUCUUCCACGUUCCCGUAUUUUCCUGUGGAGCUGCUCAGUGCCCGGCUUAGAGGACCAGGAAUGGGUAAUCACCAGCCGUACGCUGGAGGCUGGAGCCGCUACACCGUGGCUCGCCUCGCUGCGACUGGUGGUAACCGCGACCGAGACGGCAGUGCGGCGGAAGCGAUACAUUUUAUACACAGAUACAAUUUUAUUGUAACAUUUUAAGAAAAACAGCUUUGUAAUUUUUUAUUUAAAAAUAUUGGCCUGGCGCGGUGGCUCAUGCCUGUAAUCAUAGCAUUAUGGGAGGCUGAGGCGGGCAGAUCAUGAGGUCAGGAGAUCGAGACCAUCCUGGCUAACAUGGUGAAACCCCGUCUCUACUAAAAAUACAAAAAAGAAAUGAGCCGGGCGUGGUGGCGGGCGCCUGUAGUCCCAGCUACUUGGGAGGCUGAGGUAGGAGAAUGGCGUGAACCCGGGAGGUGGAGCUUGCAGUGAGCUGAGAUGGCACCACUGGACUCCAGCCUGGGCGACAGAGUGAGACUCCAUCUCAAAAAAAAAAAAGAAAACUCAAGAAUGACAUGGCAGUGGUUUGGAAAUCCGAGAGUGAGAGAGACAUCCAGGCUUUGCCGCAAGCCUCACCAGAACCUCCCUGGGUGUGAAGAGUCCUGUUCGGGAGCAGGGCUGUGAGGCGGGGCAGGCCAGGGCUUGUCUGGGUCACAGGCACCAACCCCUUCCUCAGGUCGGUGCACCACUGCGUGACCUCCAGGCAGCCACAGCCUGGAAAAGCACUCGGUUACCACCUUGCUCAACACCUGUGCCCGGAACAUCCACAAGGCCUGCCUCGGCUGCUUAGCCAGGACUGCAGGGAUGGCCCGCAGCCUCAUCGGGGCCAAGGACGCAUGCCUCCUGUCAGACACUUCUAGGUGUUGGCGUCCAUGGAGAGCCUGGAGUUAGGAGAACACAGAGGACAUAGGAAACCCUUCAAACACACAUCGGAUUCUCUGCUCACAGUUUUGGGUUCAGGCUGUGCUGCUUUGGGCAGGACUCGUCACUGUGUCCCCCACUCCAUGAAACUGGGCCUGCUGUCCUGUUAGGAUGCUGUAAGCCCCCGGGCCUGGGCUGUCCUUUCUGACGCACUGUCCCAUUCCUUGGCCUGGUUCAUCCCCAGCUUCCUGGCAAAGUUCUGCUCCCUGAAGCAGGAAGAGGCUGAGAUUAAUGCCAACGAAGUGGGCCGUGGGCCUGGGAAGACUGUGUGGCUGGCUGAGGGUGGGCACUAAGCUGGCCACCCCACCCCCGACAUGGACAUGGCUGUGCUGUGGCGGAAGGGGUGGUGCGGGCAUGGCCACGGCACUCGAGACAGCCCUCCGAGGAGGAGGGCGAGCCUGGCUGGACCCCCUGUCUGCGGUGCUGUGUCAGGGCAGCAGAGGACAGCCUCUUGCCCCCAGGAGUGUGCAGUGUGGGCAAGAGACAGAGUGAUCAUGUGUUUGGAACGCAGCUCCAGCCCAGCCAGGGGACCAGAAAAGCCCUCCCGCUUCCAGGGAGGAUGUGCAUGGCUCUGCCAAUGCCUGUCUCCCAGGGCCGCUGGCAGGUCCCAGGAUGCGCAAGACUGGGCUGCCCAGGCAGGUCCCUGCAGACAGCGGGGCCUGGGCUAGAGGCCAAGGGCUGGGACUGGGAAGGGACGCGACGCCUGAUAGCCAGUGAGGAGCCAGGCACACAACUUGGAAAUAAACAAGCUUUAUUUUCAGUUUCAACAGGUAAGGCGAUACCUGCUUCAUCGUGUGCUUUUAUGUAAAUGCCAAAUAGCAAAAUAACAGCUAGAAAAUAAACAGUUUGUCAGUUUGGAGAUCAA
ensembl:lncRNA MED15P9 mediator complex subunit 15 pseudogene 9